rnacentral:tRNA from 1 species
GAUGGCUCAGAGGUUAAAGCGUCUGCCCGCAAUGCAGGAGAUCCAGGUUCGAUCCCUGUGUC